CAGCCGACGGUAAUACGUAGGUGGCAAGCGUUGUCCGGAAUUAUUGGGCGUAAAGCGCGCGCAGGCGGCUUCUUAAGUCCAUCUUAAAAGUGCGGGGCUUAACCCCGUGAUGGGAUGGAAACUGAGAGGCUGGAGUAUCGGAGAGGAAAGUGGAAUUCCUAGUGUAGCGGUGAAAUGCGUAGAGAUUAGGAAGAACACCGGUGGCGAAGGCGACUUUCUGGACGACAACUGACGCUGAGGCGCGAAAGCGUGGGGAGCAA
rnacentral:rRNA from 1 species